UCUUUCUUCCUUCUCCAUUUCUUUUACUUUCCUUCUUCUUUAUCCACCAGCCAAAUGUUAUAUGGUUGGUCCCAACUUCACACCAAGUUAGUAUAUUAAUUUUUAAAAAAUAAAAAUUACAAAAUCUAGGUUCGAACCAUAAACCAGCCAAUUUGAUAAUCUGGUUUUUGGUUUUGGUACGACGCCUCCGGUUUGAAAUCGAUUAAGCAACAGCUCUACCUCGCAUAAUACCUCUGAAAUCGUCGCUAGCCACACCAGCUGCUUUCCGCCUCUCACCGUAGACCUAGCAAAUCACCGUCGGUUUCUGUUUAUGUGUUUCUUUCUCUCAUUCUCUCAUUUUUUUUCUACUGGAAGAUGUUGACACUGCGUUGGUUGUACUCUCUCAUAGAAGACUAAUAAGCGAAAUGGUCUGUUUCUUCAACAAGACAAGUGAAACUGGAACCGGAACUUAAUUGUAAACUCAUGGGUAUAUAAAGUUCCCCGCCAUCAUCUACCUGAAGAUAGUCACCCUACACUAGGAUAGUCCCUACAUCGCUCCACCGGCACCAAGUUGAAUGAAGGUACGACUGCGAUCGAGGAAGGAAUGUCUCAGCUCGGUGAUACAGAAUAUAGCCACGAUGAGGCAUUUCUUUCCUUGGUCCACCGGGAUAAAAAGAAAAGAAUUUAUGGGCUUGGAUCACUUGCAGCGGCGGUGCCAAUAGAGGAGGUUUUCGAUUCCAGCGACGGGCAUACCCCGAGUGGUCCGAGUUACGCCCAACAUUUGGAGAAUCUCGAGAAAAAUCACAUGACCAUCAUUGAGCAGCUCAAGAUGACUAAUGCUCGCUUGGACAAGCGUAACGAUGAUGCGGACUCUAGUGCGCCUCCGGUUUGUUGAUAUUUAUGUUUUCCGCACGAUUAAUAUUUAGUAUUGAUGAUAUUAUGACUGGAUUAUAUGUUUUGGCCCAUAUGUGAUGUUGGAAUAGUUCAAUUUCUGUAAUUGAAACUUUUUUUAGAUAUUUUGGACGUUUAUUAUGGAUUUUUAGUUGACUCAGUAUGGUUGUUUGAUUGUGGUUUGAAAUUUCGUUUUGUACUUGUGUACAUGU